ACUCGCAAUCGGAAGUUACUGUUGAAGCUAAGGCAGCCAUAACUGAUAAUGGCAGGGAGUUUCCUGACCUCCCGUCUCCAGUGUGACGUAGUUUUCCCUUCGCCCAAAUCUCACCGUUGCCCUGGGCAACAGUCGAGCCGUCUGGGAAGAUAAAUCUUUCCUUCUGUAGGCUUGAGUCAAGAACUGUAAAUCAUCUUGGUAAUACUGGGUUGGAUGCCUAACGUUGCCGGGAAAAAGAGCGGGAGAACUUUCAGGAAGAAACUUAGCUGUAUCCACCAAUUCAGAUAUGGCAGAAGUGAAGUCAAUGUUCCGGGAAGUUCUUCCAAAACAAGGGCAGUUGUCAGUGGAAGAUAUAACCACAAUGGUGCUGUGUAAACCCAAACUUUUGCCCUUAAAAUCUCUGAGUCUGGAAAAACUGGAGAAAAUGCAGCAAGCAGCCCAGGAUACGAUUCGCCAACAAGAAAUGGCAGAAAAGGAAAAACAGCAAAUAACUCACUGAAUGAUAACUCAGCACUUCUACAGAAUACCCUGCCUUACUAUUAACAAUAGCUAGACAAUAAUUUGCAUCUGUAUGCUGAAGAUGGUGUAUGUUAAUAAAACUGAUAGUGCUUAUAAAUAAUAUAAAAAUACCCAACUAAUGAAACUUGUGAAUUUAGACACUGGUUUGUAUUGAACACGAGCAAUUAAAAAAUUUUGAACACAAAUUUUA